AGUGAACGCUGGCGGUAGGCCUAACACAUGCAAGUCGAACGGCAGCACAGUAAGAGCUUGCUCUUACGGGUGGCGAGUGGCGGACGGGUGAGGAAUACAUCGGAAUCUACUUUUUCGUGGGGGAUAACGUAGGGAAACUUACGCUAAUACCGCAUACGACCUACGGGUGAAAGCAGGGGAUCUUCGGACCUUGCGCGAUUGAAUUAGCCGAUGUCGGAUUAGCUAGUGGGCGGGGUAAAGGCCCACCAAGGCGACGAUCCGUAGCUGGUCUGAGAGGAUGAUCAGCCACACUGGAACUGAGACACGGUCCACACUCCUACGGGAGGCAGCAGUGGGGAAUAUUGGACAAUGGGCGCAAGCCUGAUCCAGCCAUACCGCGUGGGUGAAGAAGGCCUUCGGGUUGUAAAGCCCUUUUGUUGGGAAAGAAAAGCAGCAGGUUAAUACCCCGCUGUUCUGACGGUACCCAAAGAAUAAGCACCGGCUAACUUCGUG
rnacentral:rRNA from 1 species